rnacentral:rRNA from 1 species
AUGGCAGUGCGGGUGCUAUACAUGCAGUCGACGCUUCUUUCCUCCCGAGUGCUUGCACUCAAUUGGAAAGAGGAGUGGCGGACGGGUGAGUAACACGUGGGUAACCUACCCAUCAGAGGGGGAUAACACUUGGAAACAGGUGCUAAUACCGCAUAACAGUUUAUGCCGCAUGGCAUAAGAGUGAAAGGCGCUUUCGGGUGUCGCUGAUGGAUGGACCCGCGGUGCAUUAGCUAGUUGGUGAGGUAACGGCUCACCAAGGCCACGAUGCAUAGCCGACCUGAGAGGGUGAUCGGCCACACUGGGACUGAGACACGGCCCAGACUCCUACGGGAGGCAGCAGUAGGGAAUCUUCGGCAAUGGACGAAAGUCUGACCGAGCAACGCCGCGUGAGUGAAGAAGGUUUUCGGAUCGUAAAACUCUGUUGUUAGAGAAGAACAAGGACGUUAGUAACUGAACGUCCCCUGACGGUAUCUAACCAGAAAGCCACGGCUAACUACGUGCCAGCAGCCGCGGUAAUACGUAGGUGGCAAGCGUUGUCCGGAUUUAUUGGGCGUAAAGCGAGCGCAGGCGGUUUCUUAAGUCUGAUGUGAAAGCCCCCGGCUCAACCGGGGAGGGUCAUUGGAAACUGGGAGACUUGAGUGCAGAAGAGGAGAGUGGAAUUCCAUGUGUAGCGGUGAAAUGCGUAGAUAUAUGGAGGAACACCAGUGGCGAAGGCGGCUCUCUGGUCUGUAACUGACGCUGAGGCUCGAAAGCGUGGGGAGCAAACAGGAUUAGAUACCCUGGUAGUCCACGCCGUAAACGAUGAGUGCUAAGUGUUGGAGGGUUUCCGCCCUUCAGUGCUGCAGCAAACGCAUUAAGCACUCCGCCUGGGGAGUACGACCGCAAGGUUGAAACUCAAAGGAAUUGACGGGGGCCCGCACAAGCGGUGGAGCAUGUGGUUUAAUUCGAAGCAACGCGAGAACCUUACCAGGUCUUGACAUCCUUUGACCACUCUAGAGAUAGAGCUUUCCCUUCGGGGACAAGUGACAGGUGGUGCAUGGUGUCGUCAGCUCGUGUCGUGAGAUGUUGGGGUAGUCCCGCACGAGCGCACCCUUAUUGUUAGUGCAUCAUUAGUGGCACUCUAGCGGAGACUGGCGGUGACAACCGAGAAGGUGGGGGAUGACGUCAAAUCAUCAUGGCCUUAUGAACCUGGCUACCACUGCUCAAUGGGAGUCAACGAGGUGCUCUAUACACGCCGGAGGCCAUGUGUGCAAAAAU